rnacentral:tRNA from 1 species
UCCAUUGCUCAGUUGGUAAAGCACAAGGCUCUUAACCUUGUGGUCUUGGGUUCGAGCCCUACGAUGGAG